AGAGCUCUUCGAGAAAGCCGAGUUCCUGAGUCGAAACAUAACAAACAUUGAUGCUAUAUUGAAGAAACUGGUGUCAACAUUCAGCAAACUCUCGAAGAAUGGCCUCGAGAAAUUAAUCAAGAAGAACAAACUGGAUGCACUGGUGGCACCUGGAUUUAGUGGUGUAUUAUCAUUUGUUCUUGCAAUUGGACAAUACCCUGGAAUCAGUGUCCCUGCCGGGUAUGACAGUGACGGUGUGCCCUUUGGCAUUAGCUUCGGUGGACCAAAGGGUUCGGAGCCAAAACUAAUUGAGAUUGCUUAUGGCUUUGAGACAGCUACCAAGGUUAGGAGCCCCCCUGCAUUCAAGCCUUGAAAGCUUAGCAAAAUCCUAAUCAAGUACUUACCAGUACAAUAAUAAAACUCUUAUUCUGGGCAAGCACCUUAAUUUUCAAGCUCUCAACACUUGCAAGUUAACGUGCUGCUUAGCUUUGUGAAUCUGUGGCAACUUUAUAGAGAACACCCAUCCAACUAGGAGUUUUUAUGGCCGCUUCUCUAUGGUACCAGUUGUUGCUUCAUUGAAUUUGCUUCAUUAAUAGGCUCACGAUUCGACUUUGAUCGUUAUGGGCUAGUACCAAGAUCUAGUCCUAGACAAGCGGACCUGAUUUUAACAGCCGGCACAGUAACCAUGAAAAUGGCUCCUUCUUUAGUGAGAUUAUAUGAACAAAUGCUGGAACAAAAAUAUGUUAUUGCUAUGGGAGCAUGUACAAUUACAGGGGGAAUGUUCAGUACGGAUUCUUAUAGUACUGUUCGGGGAGUCGAUAAGCUAAUUCCUGUAGAUGUCUAUUUGCCGGGCUGCCCUCCUAAACCGGAGGCGAUUAUAGAUGCUAUAACAAAACUUCGUAAAAAAAUAUCUCGAGAGAUUUAUGAAGAUCGAAUUAGGUCUCAACAGGGGAAUCGGUGUUUUACUACCAAUCACAAGUUUCAUAUUGGACGUACUACUAAUACUGGAAAUUAUGAUCAAGGAUUACUCUAUCAACCGCCGUCUACUUCAAAAAUAGCUCCUGAAGCCUUUUUCAAAUACAAAAAGUCAGUAUCGUCCUCUGAAUUAGUAAAUUAGAGGAAGGACUCCUUUGUACAGAAUAACAAAAGGCAAGUCAAUCUUCCUAAAUUUCAUCGGAAAUAGGAAAUACUUAUACAAAUAAAAAUGGGGGAGAGAAAAAAAAUAUGCGGGGUCCUCUGUCUGCUUGGCUGGUCAAACAUGGGCUAGUUCAUAGAUCUUUGGGCUUUGAUUACCAAGGAAUAGAGACUUUACAAAUAAAGCCCGAGGAUUGGCAUUCCAUUGCUGUCAUUCUAUAUGUAUAUGGUUACAACUAUCUGCGUUCCCAAUGUGCCUAUGAUGUAGCACCGGGCGGGCUGUUAGCUAGUAUAUAUCAUCUUACGAGAAUAGAAUAUGGUAUUCUAGAUCAACCUGAAGAAGUAUGUAUAAAAGUAUUUGCUCCUAGGAAGAAUCCUAGAAUUCCAUCUGUUUUCUGGGUUUGGAAAAGUGCGGAUUUUCAAGAAAGAGAAUCUUAUGAUAUGUUGGGAAUCUCUUAUGAUAAUCAUCCACGUCUGAAACGUAUCUUAAUGCCGGAAAGUUGGAUAGGGUGAUUUCUUUCACUUCUGAAUCCCAAACAAUGCCGGAAAGUUAACGUGUUGGGCUGGGUUUCAUUCCCGGCAUGGCCCUUUGAGAUUACUAGAUGGGCUAGCAGAUGGGCCCAUUGUCUUUUGGGGCUUGUUCCAUGACUGUCUGUGAUUGGGUCAUCACGCCCACUAUAUAUUAUCUUAGAUCCACGCUGAAUAAAAAAUUAUGAACUUUGUGGUACGUUCUUAUAAUAUGUAGCAUGGUCAAAGUAUAACAUUUUCUAAAUAAAAUAACUUAUUAAUCUCAAGUCUGAGAAUCACUUACACUACUGUUACGUGAGCCUUUAUAUAGAUAAAAAUGAUCUAUUCGUAUGAAAUUCUCAUUAGUUCAAUAUGCAUCUCUUAUGACAAGCGCCUCCUAUAUAUUAAUUAUAGAUAUCUUUUAUAUCUUAAUUUAUGAGAAUAACCGAUUCUUUUCUUUUAUAUAUAUAUAUAUAUGCUUUACAUAAAUAUAUUGCGCUAACAUAUUCAUGUUCACAUGGUAACUUGGGAGAUUAUAUGUUUUUUCAGCAACAUAAUUACAGGUAGGACACAUCUAUGUAAAGACUAUUUGAUCUCCUUUAAAUUUUGUUGGUGACUUGUGCAGAAUCGAUAGGAUGAGCCCGAUGGAAGCUUUUGUUGUACGAAGAGCAGUUUCUCAAAUUUCAUUUAUUAUUAUUGUUAUUAAUCUGGAUGAACUGGAACACUUCUGCAUUUUUAUACUGAAGAAAAAAUUCAUAUAAUUGUUUAUAAUUGAAAUAAUUUUGGCUUGAAUCAAUUGAUAAAUUAAAAUUUAUUUUUACUUUAGUUUGGUUCAUAAUAAUUUUAAUUUAGAUAUUUAUUUUAGUCCAGAUUAAAUUGAAAUGCUUCGUUUUAUUUAGCGAGUGUUUAAGAGUACGAUGAUGAUUGUUUUUUAAAAUAUUUUUUGCUUGAAAAUAUAAUAAAAAAAUAUUUAUUUUAUUUUAAAAAAAUAUUUUUAAUAUAAUAUAUUAAAAUGAUUUUAAAAAAAUUUAAAAAUUAAUUGUUUUUUAAAAAAUUAUUUUAAAAAUAUUUUUAAAGUACAAGAAUUUGCUAACUUAAUAGCCACACACCGUUUGAUUUUUCCUCCUCGAUUGGUGCACUUCUUUUUGAAAUCCAAUAUCCAAAAAGCAACAGCACUGUCGGCGACAAUCAUUGCAAUGCAACAAAAAGUUAUGUUCACACUCUGGCGCCGAGUAAGCAUAAUUAUAAUAUUAAAUUAAUAUGAAUUGACCAUCCUCAGCUAUGGCCAUAAAUUAAUAUCUAAUCAAGUACUAUAUUAUUGGCUCAUGAUAAGAUUAGGUAAAUUUUUUUAAUAUAAAAAAUUAAAUAUUGUUAAUAUUUUAUUAAAAAAAAUAAUUGAAUAAGAAUUAAUUUGAUAUAACUUGAUUAAAUUUAUAGGUUAAAAAUAAUACAUGUAAUUCAUAAAAACAUAAUUUGACUAUAAAAAAUUAAGAUAACAUUCUUUUAAUAUUAAUGUAGCAACAUAAUGGAUUGAAUUGGGUCAAUCUAAGUCAACAUGUUAAAUUUAUAACUUGAGUUAUGAGACUUUGAUAACCAUAUAGAAAGAAAAUUAAAAUAAAUUAUGAAGUCUAAUUCUCAAUUGAAUUAAUAUUGAAAGAUAAAAUUAAAAAAAAAUCAAUUAAAAAAGAAUUUACUUAGUCAUGAGACCAAGAUAUUCCCAUAAAAAACAAAAAAAAAGUUUAUAGAACUCAAUUCCUAAAAAUAUAUAGGCUAAUAAAAAAAAUUCAAAAACAAAAACUCAAUUGAAAUAAUUUUGUCUUGAAGCAAUUUAAAAGGAAAAAACCUGAACUAAAAUUAAUAAAUUUAAACUUAUUUUUAGUUUAGCUUGAUUCAUGAACUUUUUUAAAAAAUAAUUUUAAUUUAGAUAUAUAUAUUUUAGUCGGAUCAAAUUGAAAUGUUUCGUUUUAUUUAGAGGGUCUUUGAAAGCGCAAUGAUAAUUGUUUUUUAAAGUUUUUUUUCACUUGAAAAUGCAUCAAAAUAGCAUUUAUUUUAUUAAAAAAAAUAAUUUUGAUAUUAACAUAUUAAAAUUAUCUAAAAACACUAAAAAUAUAAAUUAUUUUAAAAAUAUUUUUAAAGCACAAGAAUAAGUAGUAACUUAAUAGCCACACAACCAUAGUUUUGAAAUCCGGCCCGGUGGGUCGAUCAGGGGCUGAACCGGGUCGGGUUGAAGAAAAAAUGGGAGAAAGAAAAACUCGACGACCUGGUUGACCAUAAACCUGUUGACUUUUAUUGUUUUUUGUUUUUUGUUUUUUUUUUUUACUAAAACAAUGUCGUUUUGAUUUUUAAAAAAAUAAAAUUGCCUGGGCUAAUCCAAUGACCUGCCCAAAAUCCAGUAAUCCAGUUAAAAUCUAAAACUUGGAUCUUAAACCGAGCCGGCUACUAACCGGGUCUAAAACGAUGCACACAACACACAGCGGUGCCGAGGAAGCAUAAUAUUAAAUUAAUAUGAAUUGACCAUCCUAAUCUAUGGUCAUAAAUUAAUAUUUAGUCAAGUACUUAAGUUCGGGUUAUUUUUUUUAAAUAUAAAAAGAUUUAAAUAUUGUUAAUAUUUUUUUUAAAAAAAUAAUUGUAUAAGAAUUGAUUUGAUCUUGAUUAAAUUUGCAGGUCAAAAAACAAUUUACAUAACUCAUAAAAAUAUAAUUUAACUAAAAAAAUUAAGAAGAUAUUUUUUUAAUAUUAAUAUAACAACAUAAUUGAUUGAAUUGGGUCACUAUGAGUUAACAUGUUAAAUUUAUGACCCGAGUUAUGAGAUUUUAAUAACCACAUAGAAAGCAAAUCAAAUAAAUUAUAAAGUCUAAUUCUUGAUCGAACCAAUAUUGAAGAUGAAAUUAAAAAAAAUCAAUUAAAAAAAGGAUUUACUUGGUCGUUAGACCAAGAUAUCCCCAUAAAAAGCAAAUAAAAAUAAAUUUUGAAACUCAAUUCUCAACCGAUCUAGUAUUGAAUAAUAAAAUUGAAAAAAAUCAAUUAAAAAUAAGACAUAAAAAACAACCUGAGUAUACUCAGAUUAACCCUUUAAGUAUUAUUAUCGAGUCAUGAGGUUCAAAUAACAUAAUAGAAAACAAACAAAAUAAAUUAUGAAGUCUAAUUAUCAAUCAAUCUAAUAUUAAAAAGUAAAAUUAAAAAAAUAAAUCAACAAAGUUAUCCUCUUAAACUCAUAAUUUGUAUAAUGAAAAUAUAAUAAAUCAAUAAAAAAAUUUAAUAUUAAAAAAUAAAAUUAAAAAAAAUAAUGGAAUUUUUUUUAAAAAAAUUAAAGUAAUAUUUAAUUAACAAUAAUAUGCGAGGAGAGGAGAGGUACCGUAAACCUUAUCUUUUAGUUUAUAAUUAAUAGUUAAUUAAUUAAUUCUAUCAGUAACCAUAAAUUAAUAUAAAUAUAUAGAAACGUCCUGUAUUGCUGCUUCAGCCUGCAGUAUUUGUCUACUUUUAAGGCAGCACCAUCUCCCAUCUCACCCGUAGCCUACUUCAGACUUGAAAACUCAGCUGGGCAACUCAGUUGAGCAAUUCUCAUCUUAUAAGCUAUGGCCAACAAUUCUCUACUGUUUUUAAUUCUUGCCUCUUUAUUAUUAUCCGGGUUCUUUACCAAGACAAGCAGUGCCUUCUCAAUUGAAGAAGCAACUAUAGAUGAUCUUCAACUAGCUUUUAAGCAAAACCAACUAACCUCUAGACAACUCGUUGAGUUCUACCUCAAACGGAUCCGCAGACUCAAUCCGCUUCUUAGAGGGGUCAUAGAGGUGAACCCUGAUGCACUCUUUCUAGCCGAUAAGGCUGACCGAGAGCGCAGGGUCAACACCCCAGGGUCAACUGGUGGUUUGCACGGGAUUCCUAUCCUGCUCAAGGACAAUAUUGCAACCAAAGACAAACUGAACACUACAGCUGGUUCUUAUGCACUGCUUGGAUCAGUUGUCCCUCGGGAUGCAGGUGUUGUAAUGAAGUUGAGGAAAGCUGGAGCUAUCAUAUUAGGGAAGUCUAGCUUGAGUGAGUGGGCUAAUUUCAGGACAAAUGACGCACCCUCAGGUUUUUGUGGGAGAAGCGGCCAAGGAAAGGUGAGUUGCUUAAUUACUAGCACAAGUCAGAUGUUCAAGCCUUUCUUGAAAUGAUUCAUCACUUAUCCAGGCUUCUAACUGCAUGUCAUGACUCUGCUAUGCUAAACAUUACCGUCAUCUCAUGGACUUUUGGAGUUAUGUCUGAAACUAACAGAUAAUUCUGGGGUUUGAUUGUGAUCAUAAUCAAUCAUUUUGUAAAAUUCAAAAGGUUUUCUAGCUGUUGCUAAGAACAAACAAGCAGGAAGCAGGAUUGGCAUUCCAAUGCCACAUGUUCUGUGACGAUUGUCUUCCGAAUGACUUGUCAACUGCACUGACGACAUGAGAUAAUAAUUGAUGUGUGGCCUUUAUUUGCAGAAUCCAUAUGUUUUGUCCGUGUCUCCUUGUGGGUCAAGCAGCGGGUCAGGAAUAUCAGUGGCAGCGAACUUGGCAGCCGUGUCACUUGGGACCGAGACUGAUGGCUCCAUCCUAUGUCCAUCGAGUUACAACUCAGUUGUGGGCAUCAAACCCACUGUUGGUCUCACUAGUAGAGCUGGGGUUAUCCCCAUCUCCCCUAGACAGGACACUGUGGGGUAGGUGAAUUCUUAGCCAAUUGUGAUAAUUUUACAAGCAUCAGCAAUGGAGAUAAUGUGAAUCAGUAUUUUCUGUAAGAUUUAUGCUGGUUUCUGGUUGUUAAAUGUUGGAUGGAGCAGGCCAAUGUGCAGGACAGUAUCAGACGCUGUGUAUGUUCUUGAUGCCAUUGUAGGCUUUGAUUCAAAUGAUGCUGCAACCAGAGAAGCAGCAAAAUAUAUUCCGACCGGUGGCUACAGACAAUUUCUUAACCCUCUUGGGCUUAAAGGGAAGAGAUUGGGGAUAUUGAGGACUCCAUUUUACAAUUCGGCCGGCAACGAUAAAGAAUCCCGCCGGCAUCAAACUUUUGAGCACCAUUUUCAAACACUAAGGUAACAAAAACUAAAUGUUUAUCUGGUGUCAUUUUCGUUCUUUGUUUCUGUUUAUAAAAAAUUGAAAAUAAAAUAUAAAAACUUGCUCGUUUUUGUUUUUUGUUUUCUAUAAAUAAAACAUGACAACAAGUUUUCAAAACUAAAAAAAUUUGGUUCUCAAAAGUUGUUUUCACACUAUUAAUCUACAAUACAGGGCUUGAUCAUGUGCAAUACUUUAUAAUUAAAAAAAAUAUGGUAAUUAUUAUUUUUUAAAAAAAUAUAUUUAAAAAAAUAUUAAAAUAAUAUUUUUUUUAUUUUAAAAAAAUUACAAAAAAAAAUUUGGUUCUCAAAAGUUGUUUUCACACUAUUAAUCUACAAUACAGGGCUUGAGUGGUUUACAUCAAAAGACCAUGUGCAAUACUUUAUAAUUAAAAAAUAUGGUAAUUAUUAUUUUUUUUAAAAACAAUAUAUUAAAAUAUAUUAAAAUAAUAUUUUUUUAUUUUAAAAAAAUUAUUUUUAAUAUUACUACUUUAAAAUAAUAUGAAAAAAUAUAUAAAAAAUUUUAAAUAAAAAAAAUUAAAAUUUUGCUUAACUCCUAUUUAUAACACAAUACUAAACUGUGGCUAAAUCCAUGACAUUUGGAGAUUGGGUUAUGACUUAUGACCCGACUCCAAGGCGACCAAGGGUUGAGUUGAUAGCAUUGGAUAACCAGGGUUAAGCCGGGAUCUAAUUCAGACUGUUUGAAAAGGUUGGCUAGGGACCUGCCUCAGAUGAUAGGGGUCAAGUCGAGACCGGGUCUGGACUUAUUGCAUUGGAUAACAUGGGUAUUAAUUCCGAGAUUAAGUGUAUUUUUUAAAUUAAAAGAGAAAAGCUAAUUAAAAAAAGUUUUCUGUUUUUAAGAAACUGGAAACAAAAAUAAGAAAUUUGAGAAUAAAAACAGAAAACGAAAAUGAUAUCAAACGAUCUCUAGAUUUUUCUAGUAGUAGUUUCAAUAAUAUCAUGGCAAAUUAGUGCAAGCUGACUAGACAUUCUUUAUCUUUUCCAAAAUUAAGACGACAAGGUGCAGUUCUCGUAGAUAAUUUGCAAAUAAGCGACGAUGACACGAUCACAGCCGGGCAGAACGGAGAAUUACUUGCACUGUUGCUCGAAUUCAAACCAGCCUUGAAUGAGUAUCUAGAACAGUUGGUGGCGUCUCCAGUCCGAUCCUUAGCAGAUGUGAUAGCCUUCAACAAAAAAUUCUCCAGAUUGGUUAGUACAUGCGCGACUAUAAUCGCCAUACUGAACCAACACGGGUGCAAUCCACAUUCUGAUUUGUUUGAUUGGUCUUGCAGGAAAAGACCAAGGAAUACGGUCAGGAGCGAUUCGAGAAAGCCGAGUUCCUGAGUCGAAACAUAACAAACAUUGAUGCUACCUUGAAGAAACUUGUGUCAACAUUCAGCAAACUCUCGAAGAAUGGCCUCGAGAAAUUAAUCAAGAAGAACAAACUGGAUGCACUGGUGGCACCUGAUUUUAGUGGUGUAUUAACAUUUGUUCUUGCAAUUGGACAAUACCCUGGAAUCAGUGUCCCUGCCGGGUAUGACAGUGACGGUGUGCCCUUUGGCAUUAGCUUCGGUGGACCAAAGGGUUCGGAGCCGAAACUAAUUGAGAUUGC
rnacentral:lncRNA from 1 species